AAGGUCCUCAUCACUUUCCUACUCUUCUUCAGCGGUCACAGCUUCAGUCUUUGGAUAGAUUGCCUUUGAAGUCAAUAGGAGAAGCCACGUGUUCAUCAAAAUAUGGAAGUUAUCUUUCUCAUUAACCUUGAGAAGCUUCAUCGAUUACUGGCAAUCCAGUUUGACUUGAGUGGAACCCUGUCACCAAGGUGAUUGUGCAGCUGGUUUUCCAGUGUUUCUAAUACUAAAUUUCUGUGAGCUUUCUGUUCAACUCCUAUUUCUUCUGAUACUGGCUCAGCAAUUGGAUCACCCCUGUGGCCGUUUAAGGACAAGAUGGGUUGGCUGGCUGAGCUCCUGGACGUCACAACUCCUGCUGUGGAGAUAGUUGCUUGUAGCACCUCCAGCGCUACUGUUGCAGCUUCAGAUAUCAUUUGUUUCCAAACAACUAGUCUCAACUUCUUGUUCUCUGGAUAACGUACUUGCCUCGUGGAAGCUACUGCAGCAACAUGAAAGAGAAGGGAGUUAUCACAGCUGAAGCCUGUGGCCCUAUUUGACUCCUGCUGGAGGAAAGCUAAACAUGCAAAUCAGGCAGCGGCUGAUGAUACAGCAGGGUGCAAUAUACACAGGAAGGAAAACAAAGAGAGAUGAGUCCUGACAGCAGAGAAAUUACAUCUGGCUUCAUCUGAGGGCACAGACCUGGCCCCGGCUGCCCCAAGAUCACUGCACACUGCCAGCCAAGCUGUUCUCAUGCUUAAUUUACAGCCUACAAGGUUCGUGCAUCACCUAAUGAAAAAUCUCGAUGGGAACUUUGCAGGAGAAAGUAGGACAGUUGGCACAUUAUUCACGUUUCAGCAGAGGAGGGGAGAGCUCCUUUUGCCAUGAGAACUGACCUCGUGGUGGUUUGACCUGCACAGAGGGCUGUCAUUGGGGCUUUGUGAUCAUU
rnacentral:lncRNA from 1 species